GAGGCUAGGGGAGAGGGCAGUACAUCGCGAGAGUGAACCCACCUGACGUGUCUGGGGGACCAGGGGUCGGAGGUUCAAAUCCUCUCAGCCCGACCA
rnacentral:tRNA from 1 species